CAGCAGCCGCGGUAAUACGUAGGGGGCAAGCGUUGUCCGGAUUUAUUGGGCGUAAAGAGCUCGUAGGCGGCUCACUAAGUCGGAUGUGAAAACUCCAGGCUCAACCUGGAGACGCUAUUCGAUACUGGUGUGGCUUGAGUUCGGUAGGGGAGCACGGAAUUCCUGGUGUAGCGGUGAAAUGCGCAGAUAUCAGGAGGAACACCGGUGGCGAAGGCGGUGCUCUGGGCCGAAACUGACGCUGAGGAGCGAAAGCGUGGGUAGCAAACAGGAUUAGAUACCCUGGUAGUCCACGCCGUAAACGUUGGGCACUAGGUGUGGGACCCUAUCGACGGGAUCCGUGCCGUAGCUAACGCAUUAAGUGCCCCGCCUGGGGAGUACGGCCGCAAGGCUAAAACUCAAAGGAAUUGACGG
rnacentral:rRNA from 1 species